AGCAGCCGCGGUAAUUCCAGCUCCAAUAGCGUAUAUUAAAGUUGUUGCAGUUAAAAAGCUCGUAGUUGAAUUUCGGGAUCAGUUGGUCGGUCGUGCCUCGGUACGUACUGGUCAAAUUGAUUCCUACCUUCUGACGAACCACGAUGUCAUUAAUUUGGUGUCGCGGGAAAUCAGGACUGUUACUUUGAAAAAAUUAGAGUGUUUAAAGCAGGCUCGCGCUUGAAUACAUUAGCAUGGAAUAAUGAAAUAGGACGUUUGAUUCUAUUUUGUUGGUUUCUAGGAUCGACGUAAUGAUUAAUAGGGAUAGUUGGGGGCAUUAGUAUUCAAUUGUCAGAGGUGAAAUUCUUGGAUUUAUUGAAGACUAACUACUGCGAAAGCAUUUGCCAAGGAUGUUUUCAUUAAUCAAGAACGAAAGUUAGGGGAUCGAAGACGAUCAGAUACCGUCGUAGUCUUAACCAUAAACUAUGCCGACUAGGGAUCGGAUGAUGUUAAUUUUUAAUGACUCAUUCGGCGCCUUACG
rnacentral:sRNA from 1 species